ACCACCCUCCUAAUGAAAUAGUUUUUCCUAAUAUCCAACCUAAACCUCCCCCACUGCAACUUGAGACCAUUACGCCUUGUUCUGUCAUCUGGUACCACUGAGAACAGUCUAGAUCCAUCCUCUUUGGAACCCCCUUUCAGGUAGUUGAAAGCAGCUAUCAAAUCCCCCCUCAUUCUUCUCUUCUGCAGACAAAACAAUCCCAGUUCCCUCAGCCUGUCCUCAUAAGUCCUGUGCUCCAGCCCCCCUAAUCAUUUUUGUUGCCCUCCGCUGGACUCUUUCCAAUUUCUGCACAUCCUUCUUGUAGUGUGGGGCCCAAAACUGGACACAGUACUCCAGAUGAGGCCUCACAAAUGUCAAAUAGAGGAGAAUGAUCAUGUCCCUCGAUCUGCUGAAAAUGCCCCUACUUAUAUAACCCAAAAUUCCGUUAGCCUUCUUGGCAACAAGGAUACACUGUUGACUCGUAUCCGGCUUCUCGUCCACUGUAACUCCUAGGUCCUUUUCUGCAGAAUUGCUGCGUAGCCAUUUGGUCCCUAGUCUGUAACAGUGAAUGGGAUUCUUCCAUCCUAAGUGCGGGACUCUGCGCUUGUCCUUGUUGAACCUCAUCAGGUUUCUUUUGGCCCAAUCCUCUAAUUUGUCUAGGUCCCUCUGUAUCCUAUCCCUACCCUCUAGCAUACCUACCACUCCUCCCAGUUUAGUGUCCUCUGCAAACUUGCUGCGAGUGCAGUCUGUGCCAUCCUCCAGAUCAUUAAUGAAGAUAUUGAACAAAACCAGCCCCAGGACAGAGCCUUGGGGUGCUCCGCUUGAAACCAGCUGCCAACUCGACAUGGAGCCAUUGAUCACUACCUGUUGAGCCCAACAAUUUAGCUAGCUUUCUAUACACCUUAUAGUCCCAUUCAUCCAGCCCAUACUUCUUUAACUUGCUGGCAAGAAUACUGUGGGAGACCGUAUCAAAAGCUUUGCUAAAGUCAAGGAAUAACACAUCCACAGUGCCAGUUAUCUACUCAUAGAAGGCAGUUAGGUUAGUCAGGCAUGACUUGCCCUUGGUGAAUCCAUGAUGACUCUUCCUGAUCACUUUCCUCUCCUCUAAGUGCUUCAGAACUUAUGCUCAGCAUCAGAAAACAGAGAGAGGUGUGAGGGAAAGUUAACAGAAAGGAAUUGCAAACAGAGGUAGUAACAUUGCAGAAAAUGCCAAAGUAGAGAAGAAAUGGUCAAGCUGAAAAAGUAACAAUUCGAACAACAUAAGAAUAAGCUGAGCUACCCAUUCUGCAAGGUACCACCCAGGAGACCACACUUGCUUCUCUGCCACAGUGAAGACCUUAACCCCACCCCAAAAACCAAGGUCUCUCAGAGUAUAUCUAUAAUGCGUUGUAAACCCAGGUCUGUGGGACAAAGGCUUGUGGACUCAGUGUUUCCAAGCCCGUGCUUGAGCAUCCAUUGUAAACCUGGAUUUACAAUUGCUGAACCCACGUGUUUCAACCAUGCUAACAUGUCCAUGCUGCGCUACAGAGGUCUUCUGAGUCGCAAAAUGACAGGGCUUGGGCCGAAGUCACAGAGGGACUGGGGCUCUGACCCACCCCCUACCAGGGUCUCCGGAUUGGGUCCUGAAUGCUUGCUGACCUGAAUCAAACGUGUGUGUGUGUGUGGAUGAAAGGGUAGCUUGGGCACUAAUCGGAUUCAGAGGUGGGUUUAGUGUGCAGUGUAGAGACACCAAAACGGGACUGAGUGCCCUCAGCAGCUCACAAAGUCAGGCCCUCAAUUAAAGUAUUUCAAGGAUAUAGACUGUUGGUUAGAUGAGAUCAUAUCACAACUAGCAUGCUCUUGAUUAAUCUAUUUACUUACAGUUAAUUGCGGUAGCUCUCUGAAGGAAGCUGUGUGCUUGUUUAGCAGUAUGGACAACUUACUACAUAAUUCCCCAGAGUAUCCUUACUCUCUGUCUGCUUCUUGGGGCAAUUCAAGGUGUAUUGAUUUAUAAAGCCCUCUAUGGCCUAGGUACUGGUUUCUUAAGAUGCCCAUCCUGCCUCUUUGCCACAGCAGAGGAGAUGAGUUGGGGCAGUUCCGCUGACACUCCCUUGGUUUGCACAUCUAGGAUAAGUGGCAGCACAUUCUCAGUGAACUGCCCUCUAAGCCUCUAAUCUACAGAGGCUGGAGGAGGGUGAUUAUAGGAAUAGGCCUAGACCAGUAAGCCACUCACAUCAGUGAUCAUGUUGUUUUAGAGUGCGUGUGUGUAUACAGACUUGUGAGGGAAGGAGAGAUAGGCACCUUUAACACAACAAAAAGUUGCAAAAAAUUAAAUAAAGUAGUAGAAGAAAAAAUAAAUGGUGACAGCACAAGCAGAUGGUCAUCAGUCCCAGCUCUGAAUAAGGCCAGGCGGAUACUAAACCAGCAAGCCAGGUAGCUCUUGGAACAGUUGCCAGUGACAAGAUGCAAUAACGCUGCAGAGAAGCAAAAGCAGUAGAUGAAGAAUGCAGUCCAAGUGGAAAGUUGAGAGUUUUGGUGGUUUUACAGAGAACGUGGAUAAAGUUAGAAAUAAAAAGAGACAGAAAACACUCUGGCUUUUCAAAGUAAAAUCAUUUGCCCUUCACUCCAGAGAAAUCACUGCCAGUGGCUGAUAACACUGAUUUAAAACAUCUUAAAAGAAACAAUACUACCAUAAAGGACAGCAGUGAAACUUAAGUUAUGAAACUGACAACGGGCCUGAACAGAGGAUUUGCCAUAUCAGAUCAUUGGCCAACUUAGUUCAGUAUCCAGCAUCUGACAGUGGCCAAUACUAGAUACUUAAAAAAGAAAGAAUAAGAAUAAUAAUUUAUGAUGCAGGAGGUUAGUUAUGCAGUGCUGUACACUAGGGUGAGAGAAGACUUCCUUCCUAACCCCUGCAGUGAUCAACUGAUGCCUUGAAGUGUAAGAUUUGUAUACUUUCUUUCCCUUACCAUGCUAAACUACAACUACAAUGUUAUCCCAUCCCCUCCCAAUCCCUCUUAAUGUAUGUUUCUAUGACCUCCUGAUACAAUUAAUUCCUUUGGCUGACUAAUGUUGUGUACUUGUGCUGUGAAUAAUUGUAAAAAGGAGUCUCUGUUUUAAAUCGACCUGUAAUUAACUUUAAUCAAGGCUCCCCUCUAGUUCUCAGAUGAUGAUAAAAAAGGAUUGUGCUAGUCUGUUCUGAAUCUUCUAGUGCAGCUGCAGAGUCCAUGCCAACUACUGAGACAAAGAGUACUAUCCAGAGGACUGAACUGCUCCUCCUGAAGCACUGAGGAAAGGAUUCUUGGACAACUGUACAAAUAAGAUAUGGAGGGAAAACCCAACUGUGGGGUUUGAAGGACCGGCACCUACCAGAGCCCUAUGCUGGAGUUGAGGGAAACCGGUGGUAAGCUUUUUAGCAUACAUUACCAGUAAUCCACCAUCCCUAUCACAGACUGCUGAAAAGCUACAGAACCUGAGGAGGAAAGCAAGAAAAAGCAAAGAUUUGGUGAAAGCAGUUAUAAAUCAGUCUGCCAGAGAGAGUAAGAGGCUGCAGGACUGGAGAGAAAAAAUUCAGCAGUGGAGGGAAACAGAAAGCAGGAGAAAGGAAUUGGCUAAGAAAAAAAGCACAAAGCAGCUGAUAAGCCUCCUGGCGCACCAAACGGAGUGUAUGCAGUCACUCAUAGCCAUGCAGGCAGAGCACUACCGUGCUGCCUGCCCCCCCAUCCCAAAGCUCUCUCCCUUGUGCCCCAAUGUCAGCUCAAAACCCCCUUCUCCAGCAUCCAGGUUCUUACCACCACCAGCUGCCCCCAACACCUGUACGUUCACCUACCAGCCCGGAGAACUACGACCCUUACCC